AUUGGGAAGAAAGGUUGCGUGUUAAUAGCACGUAGCUGUGACGUUACCUUUAGAAGAAGCACCGGCUAACUCCGUGCCAGCAGCCGCGGUAAUACGGAGGGUGCGAGCGUUAAUCGGAAUUACUGGGCGUAAAGCGCGCGUAGGCGGUUUGUUAAGUCGGAUGUGAAAUCCCCGGGCUCAACCUGGGAAUGGCAUUCGAUACUGGCCGACUAGAGUACGAGAGAGGGAGGUAGAAUUCCACGUGUAGCGGUGAAAUGCGUAGAUAUGUGGAGGAAUACCGGUGGCGAAUGCGGCCUCCUGGCUCGAUACUGACGCUGAGGUGCGAAAGCUCGGGGUAGCAAACAGGAUUAGAUACCCUGGGAGUCCACGCCGUAAACGAUGUCUACUAGCCCGUUGGGAGACUUGAUUUCUUAGUGGCCGCAGCUAACGCACUAAAGUAGACCGCCUGGGGAGUACGGCCGCAAGGUUAAAACUCAAAUGAAAUUGACGGGGGGCCCGCACAAGCGGUGGAGCAUGUGGUUUAAUUCGAUGCAACGCGAAGAACCUUACCAGGUCUUGACAUCCUCGGAACUUGGCAGAGAUGCCUUGGUGCCUUCGGGAACCGAGAGACAGGUGCUGCAUGGCUGUCGUCAGCUCGUGUCGUGAGAUGUUGGGUUAAGUCCCGUAACGAGCGCAACCCUUGUCCUUAGUUGCCAGCGCGUAAUGGCGGGAACUCUAAGGAGACUGCCGGUGACAAGCCGGAGGAAGGUGGGGACGACGUCAAGUCAUCAUGGCCCUUACGACCUGGGCUACACACGUGCUACAAUGGAACGCACAGAGGGUUGCAACCUCGCGAGAGUGAGCCAAUCCCACAAAACGUUUCGUAGUCCGGAUCGGAGUCUGCAACUCGACUCCGUGAAGUCGGAAUCGCUAGUAAUCGCGGAUCAGAAUGCCGCGGUGAAUACGUUCCCGGGCCUUGUACACACCGCCCGUCACACCAUGGGAGUGGGUUGCUCCAGAAGUGGUUAGCCUAACCUUCGGGGGGGCGAUCACCACGGAGUGAUUCAUGACUGGGGUGAAGUCGUAACAAGGUAGCCCUAGGGGAACCUGGGG
rnacentral:rRNA from 1 species